rnacentral:rRNA from 1 species
CCUACGGGAGGCAGCAGUGGGGGAUACUGCACAAUGGGGGGAACCCUGAUGCAGCGACGCCGCGUGGGUGAAGGAGUAUUUCGGUAUGUAAAGCCCUAUCGGCAGGGAAGAAAUUGGACGGUACCUGACUAAGAAGCCCCGGCUAACUACGUGCCAGCAGCCGCGGUAAUACGUAGGGGGCAAGCGUUAUCCGGAUUCACUGGGUGUAAAGGGAGCGUAGACGGCCAUGCAAGCCAGGGGUGAAAGCCCGGGGCCCAACCCCGGGACUGCCCUUGGAACUGCAUGGUUGGAGAGCGGGAGGGGCAGGCGGAAUUCCUGGUGUAGCGGUGAAAUGCGUAGAUAUCAGGAGGAACACCGGCGGCGAAGGCGGCCUGCUGGACCGCGACUGACGUUGAGGGUCGAAAGCGUGGGGAGCGAACAGGAUUAGAUACCCGGGUAGUC